UGCGUUCACCCGGGGGGUCGCUAUCGAGCGGCUGAGAUUGGGCUUCCUCGCCCUGACCCGUCGAACCUGAUCCGGGUCAUGCCGGCGAAGGGAGGGAACGGCGCACCGCC
rnacentral:ncRNA from 2 species